GAUGAACGCUGGCGGCGUGCCUAAUACAUGCAAGUCGAGCGAACAGACGAGGAGCUUACUCCUCUGACGUUAGCGGCGGACGGGUGAGUAACACGUGGAUAACCUACCUAUAAGACUGGGAUAACUUCGGGAAACCGGAGCUAAUACCGGAUAACAUGUUGAACCGCAUGGUUCAACAGUGAAAGACGGUCUUGCUGUCACUUAUAGAUGGAUCCGCGUCGCAUUAGCUAGUUGGUAAGGUAACGGCUUACCAAGGCAACGAUGCGUAGCCGACCUGAGAGGGUGAUCGGCCACACUGGAACUGAGACACGGUCCAGACUCCUACGGGAGGCAGCAGUAGGGAAUCUUCCGCAAUGGGCGAAAGCCUGACGGAGCAACGCCGCGUGAGUGAAGAAGGUUUUCGGAUCGUAAAACUCUGUUAUUAGGGAAGAACAAAUGUGUAAGUAACUAUGCACGUCUUGACGGUACCUAAUCAGAAAGCCACGGCUAACUACGUG
rnacentral:rRNA from 1 species